UGCCGAAAAACUGCGAGUGAUAGAAAUAGAAAUUAAUUUAUCAACUGCAAACAAUUUUCUAUGAAGAGUCUGCAUGUGUUUUGACGAGCAAUUAUAAAUUCCGGUUUAAACACUGGAGCAGCCUGUUACUUCAUUUUUUCGGACAGCUGUAAUUAAAAUUUUGCAGGUAGGAUGACAAGGAAAUGAUAUACAACUCGUUGGUUAAUCCCACAAAUCAGCCGAGAUACUAAUCAGGUAUUAGAACAAACGGAACACAACGACGGUGUGCCUGUCGUUAGGACAGAAACAAUUGCAUUAACUCAUCAAGUCACGGACCGUUGGAUGACUCGGCUGAUGUAUGUUGAGCGGCAGAGAAUUAGAAGUGAAUGAAUGCAUGAAAGUCUACAAACCUUGGCUAUUGAGGCCAUAUCCUAAUAUGCAUAUGAAAGCAUUGAAUAAACUGUAGGCUCAGUAUGACUGUGGGACGGCAGAAGCAGUGCUCAGUCCUCAAUACAGAGGCGAUUAAAUUGAUCAAGAAACAGUAGCCUAGACCAGAGGAAGAGAAAAGCGGCGCCUAAGAUGUGCCAGUCGUGGAUCAAUGGGUUAAGAAAAACUCCAAUCCGGAUAGGCCAGUUUAUAAUCACAAGUACAAGAGGAAGCAGAGACAUCUCACGAAGAAGGUCUCAAUGAAGACGACCCAGCUUCAAAAAUUCAAUUCAAUUCAAAAAUAAAAUUGUAUUUCCUCAAAACGUAAAUUGCAAUCCUCUUUGAAAUGUAAUAAAUAAAAAAUGUAAAUUGAAGGGGGCACAAUUCCUAAAAGCAGAGCUUGUGAUGGAUGUGCCCAAAACAUUUAACAACAAAUUAACAAAAAGAUGACAAACAUUUUUAAUGAUAAUAAUAGUAAUGAUAAUAAAGCAUUUCAAUAUGUAAAUGAAAAAAUAUAAAAAUACAUACAUUUUUAGAAUUAUAUGGAAAAAAUAAAACUAAAAUUACUGUUCUUAUUAGUAAAAUAUCGAUUAACAUAUGAAAACUUAUUUAAUCAAUAUUAUUAGGCCUAUUGAUUAAAAAAAAAAUCACUUUAGAAAUGAGAUUUUGUUCAGAUGGUGAAUCAGUGAUGUUUAGAGGGAGUGAAUUCAAAAUUUUAGGUCCACUACCUAAUAUUAUGUUGAAAUGAAGUAUUUUUGUGUUUGGGAAUGUGCAGUUUAUUUGAGAUUCUGGUACUAGCCAUGUACUUCGUUAUUAGGUGCAAAUUUAGAACAUAAUUGAGAUAUAAGAAUUGAGUUUAAGCUUUUAUAUACAAAAGAACAUUGUUAGAAUGUAUUAGGAUCUUUGAGUUUUAAUAAUUUUAGAGAAUGAAAUAAAGGAUCUGUUUUUGGUGGGACGCCAGAGAUUAUCCGUAUGAUUUUGGUAUGAUGAGUAUUUGAAAUUUACUUAGAUUAGAUGGAAAUGUGUUACACCAUACAAUAUUACAGUAUGGCAAGUAUGGAAGAAAAAGGGAACAGUAGAGAGUGCGGAGAAUAUAAUUGGGAAGAAAAGAUGCCAGUCUACAUAUUAUACCAACAUUUUUUGCAAUUUUGUUUUCAAUUUCAAAUAUAUGGGGUUUCCAUGAUAGACGACUAUCAAUGGAUACUCCAAGGAAUUUAGCGUCAAUUAAGG